rnacentral:SRP_RNA from 1 species
GCCAGGCGUGGUGAAGCACUCCUGUAGUCUCAGCUACUCAGGAGGCUGAGGCAGGAGGAUCUCUUGUGCCCAGGAGUUUGAGGCUGCAGUGCACUAUGAUUGGGCCUGUGAGUAGCCACUGAGCUCCAGCCUGGGCAACAAAAUGAGACUGGGUCUCUA